rnacentral:rRNA from 1 species
GAGUUUGAUCCUGGCUCAGGACGAACGCUGGCGGCAGGCUUAACACAUGCAAGUCGAACGCGUGUAGCAAUACACGAGUGGCGCACGGGUGAGUAACACGUGGAUAUCUGCCUUUCGGUUCGGAAUAACCCUGGGAAACUAGGGCUAAUACCGAAUGGUUCCUACGGGAUAAAGAUUUAUCGCCAAAAGAUGAGUCCGCGUCCGAUUAGCUAGUUGGCGGGGUAAUGGCCCACCAAGGCGACGAUCGGUAGCUGGUCUGAGAGGACGAUCAGCCACACUGGGACUGAGACACGGCCCAGACUCCUACGGGAGGCAGCAGUGGGGAAUAUUGGACAAUGGGGGCAACCCUGAUCCAGCCAUGCCGCGUGAGUGAUGAAGGCCUUCGGGUUGUAAAGGCUCUUUUGGUCGGGGACGAUGAUGACGGUACCCGCAGAAUAAG